CUCAACCGGUCAUAAUCCGUUUCAAACAACAUUUAGAUUUUAAAAUGCCAUGUAAAAAUAAUAAACAAAGCACCAAAACGUUAUUACAAAACAACUACUAUAAGAUUCAGGCUGUUAAAUAUCCAAAAUAAUUACUAUUUAUUGUAUAACGACGAUCGCACAUCGUCUCAUGGGCGCAGCCAUCCUGGUUGUUUGUUUACAUGUCUGCUGCCCUCAAUCAGGUAUUAAAAGACAAGCCAUAAUUGAACACUGUGAGAGACAUUAGUCUACUCAUUUCUUCCAUGGUCUACUCGACGACGAAGUGUCGAUAGCCUUAACAAAACUUAAACUAAGAUAACAUCAAGUGACAAGAAUCAUCUAAAGUACCAUAUCUCCAUAGCAACGCUACUUAACCUUCAAAAUUACCAUAGUUUCUGCAUAGCGUUUCUACUACAGUGUCAGUUGCUUCGAUCUGUUUCAACAUGUAAGACUUCUUCAUUUUAAGAGCCUCAUUUGGGCCUGAGAUUAUACACUACUAUAGUAAUCUCUGAUUUGGGCUACAGUUAUCACUAAUCAAGAACUAGAAAUGGUUGUCGAUGAAAUUAAGAAGUCUCACCCUAAUGCAGGCGAGGUGUAUCUCAUGGAUCAUCUCAGAUCAAGAGGUAUCAGAAUUCAACGCGCAUGCCUUCGGAAAGCAUUACAAGCUGUCGACCCAACCGGGGAACAGAGAAGAACAACGAGAACUAUAACCAGACGAAUUUAUUGUUCCAUGCCCGAACUACCUCUGGCAUUUUAACUGUCCACAUGACGAUCCGUUGUUGAGAAACAUAGGUGUUUUUCUCUUUUAUAGAUCUGGUCCCAACUUUGAAUAUAAUAUGCCAUUCAAUUUUAAUUGAUUUGAUCAGCCUGCGCUUGCAUGUGGCUAGAGACAACUACACAGAGAUAAUAUAUCUAUAAUAUGAGGGGUAUAUACCCACUUAUAUGGAUGCAGGGUGACCUCGAAAAUCACAAAAAAAUGUGCAUCUUUAAACAAAGCGGCUACUUUGAGUGCAGAUAACUUCAAAAGGGAAGGGAUAACUGUUAAUCUAAGGCCAUAUUUGUGAAAUAUGGCGAAAAAUAAGUCAGAAUACCAAGUUUUACCUUGAAAGCUAUUACCAAUCCUGAGUUAUAAGUUUCCAAAUUUGAAGUAAAUUGCGUUUGCACAUCUUGAAGAACCACGCCCCUUUUUUGAGGAGUCAAUAUCACGGAAACUACAUAUCCUAUUAGGCUAUUUUUUUAAAAUUUUUUUUUUUGGU